ensembl:lncRNA
GUUUUAUUGUGUCCUUGGGCUAUGUCAUUUUUUCAAAAGUUGUGGUGCUGGUGGUGAUUUAGUCGCUAAGUUGUGUCUUGCGACCCCAUGGACUGUAGCCCGCCAGGCUCCUCUGUCCAUGGGAUUUCCCAGGCAAGAAUACUGGAUUGUGUUGCCAUUUCCUUCUCCAGGGGAUCUUCCCAACCCAGGGAUGGAACCCAGAAACAAGAAUUACCAGCAGGAAUGUGAAUGGAGAGUAACAUUCUGAGAAGAACAUUCUGGGUAGAGGAAUUGAAGUCCCACACAACUUAAUGGGGACACUGGCUGCCUUGGCUCUACCAGAUCUCCUGGAAGAGGUGACUUGUUCUAUCUGUUCACACAAUUUGAAGAAACCACUUGCCGUUGAAUGUGGACACAAGUCUUGCUGUGAUUGCCUCUUAUGAAAUUGGAAAGGAAUCUGAUUACAGCACCUGCUUUAAGUAUAAAGAAAUUUGCAAGGGAAGGGACUUCCCUGGAGGUCCAGUGGUUAAGACUCUGCCCUUCCAUUGUAGAGACACGGAUUUGAUCCCUGGUCAGGGAACUAAGAUCCUGCACACUGCAUGGCAUAUUCAAAAAUUUUUUUGAAUAAAAAAUAAAAUAAAUG